rnacentral:rRNA from 1 species
GACGAACGCUGGCGGCGUGCCUAAUACAUGCAAGUCGAGCGGACAGAUGGGAGCUUGCUCCCUGAAGUCAGCGGCGGACGGGUGAGUAACACGUGGGCAACCUGCCUGUAAGACUGGGAUAACUUCGGGAAACCGGAGCUAAUACCGGAUACGUUCUUUUCUCGCAUGAGAGAAGAUGGAAAGAUGGUUUCGGCUAUCACUUACAGAUGGGCCCGCGGCGCAUUAGCUAGUUGGUGAGGUAAUGGCUCACCAAGGCGACGAUGCGUAGCCGACCGGAGAGGGUGAGCGGCCACACUGGGACUGAGACACGGCCCAGACUCCUACGGGAGGCAGCAGUAGGGAAUCUUCCGCAAUGGACGAAAGUCUGACGGAGCAACGCCGCGUGAACGAUGAAGGCCUUCGGGUCGUAAAGUUCUGUUGUUAGGGAAGAACAAGUACCAGAGUAACUGCUGGUACCUUGACGGUACCUAACCAGAAAGCCACGGCUAACUACGUGCCAGCCGCCGCCGUAAGAC